UACAAGGAUAAAUGUUUACAGACGAGUUG
rnacentral:piRNA from 1 species